GAGGAACUGAUGUCUAAUUCCAUGCGAAAACUUGGAACCCCCAAGAGAAAAGUUGAUAAAAAAUUAUGACCCCCUAUUUUUUUACUGAAAAUUUUUUGACCCCUCAUCCUAACUAUUAAUCCACACGGUGUCGUUUCCAUAGUGUUUCAGGGCCGUAGGAAGCUCUUUUUUAUUGGGGCUGAAAGCGAGGGCAGAAGGCCCGAGAAAAUUUUUAAAUCUAGAGUCUCUAAAACGCCAUUUCCUGGCCUUUGGGGGAAG